UACAGAGGUCUCAAGCGUUGUUCGGAUUCAUUGGGCGUAAAGGGUGCGUAGGCGGCGAAGCAAGUCUGAUGUGAAAUCCCGGGGCUCAACCCCGGAACUGCAUUGGAUACUGCUUUGCUAGAGUACUGGAGAGGAGACUGGAAUUUACGGUGUAGCAGUGAAAUGCGUAGAUAUCGUAAGGAAGACCAGUGGCGAAGGCGAGUCUCUGGACAGUUACUGACGCUGAGGCACGAAGGCCAGGGGAGCAAACGGG
rnacentral:rRNA from 1 species